rnacentral:rRNA from 1 species
GAUGAACGCUAGCUACAGGCUUAACACAUGCAAGUCGCGGGGUAACAUCUGGGAGAGCUUGCUCUUCCAGGAUGACGACCGGCGCACGGGUGAGUAACGCGUAUCCAACCUGGCCCAUACCACGGGAUAGCCCGUCGAAAGGCGGAUUAAUACCGUAUGCUGUCAUUAAGAUGCAUAUAUUGAUGACGAAAGGACUGGCGGUAUGGGAUGGGGAUGCGUCUGAUUAGCUUGUUGGCGGGGUAACGGCCCACCAAGGCGACGAUGCGUAGCCGACCUGAGAGGGUGAUCGGCCACAUUGGGACUGAGACACGGCCCAGACUCCUACGGGAGGCAGCAGUAGGGAAUCUUCCACAAUGGACGCAAGUCUGAUGGAGCAACGCCGCGUGAGUGAAGAAGGUUUUCGGAUCGUAAAGCUCUGUUGUUGGUGAAGAAGGAAAUGACGUUACCUCAGAAGAAGCAACCGGCUAACCCCGUGCCA